UGGCACUGUUCGUAACCUGUUACCAGCAUCCUUCUGGGGAUGGGUUCCAUUCCAGUGCUACAUCAAACCCCAAGAUAAUGAAAGGCUGGCUGUUUGUCUGGCUGCCUGUCCCCAUUAUUUUGGGGGACAUCA
rfam:Calypte anna contig7944, whole genome shotgun sequence.